GGCUGAAAUUCGCCUUCCAUGAAGCCGGAAUUGCUAGUAAUGGCAGGUCAGCAUACUGCCGUGAAUACGUUCCCGGGCCUUGUACACACCGCCCGUCACACCAUGAGAGUUGGGGAUACCCGAAGCCUGUGAGCUAACAGUAAUGAAGCAGCAGUCGAAGGUAGAAUCAAUGAUUGGGGUGAAGUCGUAACAAGGUACC
rnacentral:rRNA from 1 species